UCGUAUUUGUGUAAACAUAAAAUAAAUUUAACUACAAAUAACAGUAUCGAUGCAGCGAAACGUAAGAGCACACGUUACUUUACUGAUGAAAGUUUUUGCGAUGUCUAAUUCAACUCGCAUGUCUGUAGCAGUUUGUAAACAUGUUUCUAGAAUACGUGGAACUCCUCCAAAACGUAAUUUUACACACACACAUCACAGUUCAUGUACACUUACGGAACCACUGACAAAGACAUGUCAGCUUGAUGGAGUACGGAAAAUCAUUAUGACCAACCAGAAAACAAGGAAUGCUCUUUCACUUCAGAUGAUGGAAGAUCUCAUAAGUAAUAUUACUCUUAACCAAGAUGAUCCUGCCUUACGAUGCAUUGUUCUGUAUGGUGAAGGAAAAGUGUUUUCAGCUGGCCAUAAUCUCAAGGAAUUGACCACCAACGAAGGUACUGAGUAUCACAACCAGGUGUUCUCCACUUGCACUCGACUCAUGCUUGGAAUCAUGCAAUGUCCUGUUCCAGUUGUUGCUGUGGUAGAAGGUUUGGCAGCUGCUGCUGGCUGCCAGCUGGUGGCAACUUGUGACAUUGCUAUAUGCACAGAGAACAGCUCAUUCUCAACACCUGGUGCCAAUUUUGGCAUUUUCUGCUCCACUCCUGGCAUUGCUGUAUGCCGAGCAGUUCCUAGGAAAGUUGCUGCUCAGAUGCUCUUCACUGGACUUCCUCUCACAGCUCAUGAAGCUUUGCAGGCAGGUCUCAUCAGUAAAAUCGUCACACGGGAAAAUUUAGAUGAAGAAGUCCAAAAAGUUGUGGAUGCCAUCUGUCACAAAAGCCGCUCGGUAAUGGAACUGGGGAAAAAAUUUUUGUAUGAACAACUGGAAAUGGAUAUCAUAACAGCUUAUAGAAAGUACAUAACAUUAAUGCAAAAUUGGAACCUCACUUCUGUCUACUCAAUCCGUCUGCAACAAAUUUGAAACUAUUGAUAAGAUGUGGUAUCAGAGAUUCACACAAAAGUAUUAGGUGGUCUACGUGUGCAUGAUCGAUGGCAUUGACAUCACCCUACUGAACAUCCUGUGCCUCAGUUAUGCAUUUUCCAGUGUCAUUUGAAAGAAGUGAUUUUGAUAGAGCCGGCGUUGCUGUAAGCUUAUCUAAAAGACUUCAUUGUAUCACUUACAUGUGUACAAUGGUUGAGUGUGGACCUUGUGUAAUGGGAUGGGCAAGAGAUAAUGGUGAACAAUCUGUCAAUGGUUGAUUGUCAGGAAGGAAUUCGAAGUUUCAUAGAGAAGAGGCAACCAGUCUGGACUCAUGGUUUUGAGAAAUGUCAUUAGGGGAUUUUAACGUGACCUUUGGUAGUUUAAUGACAACAGCUGGGAUCACAGGUUUUAAGAAAAUCACACUAGUUUGGUAAAGCAAUUUUUAAAUAUUUUUUCAGUGCACAGGUUUGCAACAUCACAGUGUGAUAAAACUAUAGAAGGCUACUACAGAAUAUGUUGCCUAUACUGUUUGAAUAACCCACCAUAGAUAAUGGAUCCCCAACCAGUGGAGUUUACUCAUCUGUUUCUUGACAGUAUGAAUGUAAUUUUUAAUAAAAAAUAUUUAUGAUCAGAGGUUCUUGUCUGUAGAGACUAGUUCCAUCAAAAGUCAGUGAUAAAUACUGUGAUAACACUAUCCCCCAAGUAAGAUGAUAUUAACAACAAUAAUUAUUAUUCAAUUCAAUUCAUUAUUAUUAUUAUUAUACUAAUAAUAAUACCAACACAUAGAAAUAUGAAUUUGUAACCAAAUUUUCAGAACAGUCACUUCGUCUCUUAGUACUGACUACUUUAUAUAAUCACUGGUCCUAACCCCAUCUGUAUAGAAAUUUAUGGCUUAUCACUCUAUGAUAUAAGCAGGGACAGGGCUUCAGAAAUAUAACUUACAUACACUAGCCACUAAUGAAAUCCACUAAUCCAUAUCCUUUAAGUGUAUUCUAUAGCAAUAUUUUCCUACUUGCAACCAAUUUCCAUGUGUUAAUGUUUGGAAAUACCACAGUGGAAAAUUAUUUCUGAACGAAGGUAUAAAUAAUAUGUAUACAAUGUAAUAAAAUUAUUCUUUAAAAUUUUAAUAAUCUCAAAGCGGACAAUCGGAAGUGGAAUUAAAUAAGCUUAGUUUCUCCUUUUAGUAUAAGCAAAUGUAUGGGUUUCUGUACUAUGAAGUGCUCAAUGGAUAAAAACAAUUCUUGAAAAGUAGCUUUGCAUAAUGGUUGGGGACCCUAGAAUAAAUUCUGAAAAGCUUAGUUUUGCAUUCUUACUGGGCAAAACUUGGAAUAUAUAGUGUAGCCACAUUGUACAUGAUUACAUAGACAAUACUUUCCAGCUGUGAACUGCCAAGCACUGUACUUGUAUAAUGUUAUGGAGGUGCAAUUAUUGGAAGGGUUUUCAAUAUUAUGGUUGCUUGUUAAUUUUAUAUGUUACAUGCGUGUAUCAGUCAUAUUUCUGUCAUUGAACUUUUAAAUGCUUUAUUUUAAAACUUGUGUAAUAUCUUAAAUUUAAAAAAUUCUAUCACUAAAUUUGUUGUCUUUUAUAAGUUUCAUCUGUAAUUUCAUGUAUACAGAUGAAGUCUGAUGGUGCAUGUAUAUACGAUUCAAAAGAAGGGAAUCUUUUAAUAUGUUAAUUUUUUAAGUACAAACAAGAUGUGGUGCUGCUACUAAAGAAUGAAACUGGUGCUUAUGGUGUUACAUUUUAGAAGUUCUGUUAUAUGUGGAUGUUUGUAAUAUUGAAACAUAAAUCAGCUUAGCCCAGUAAGGUAUUAUACUGUACAUUAUGAUAGCAAAGGGAUAAACAGAUAUUCAGCAUCGAACAUUUCGAUCCUAAUAUCACAGGCUUCUCUAUCACCAAACUAGUAUCAAGAAAACUAGAAAACAGAAAUGAAUUUACCCCGAAUGUGUAGUAACAGAAGCGAAUGGAGCAGCUCUGUAACAGAACAUUUUCUGUGAGUGAAAGUGUAGAAACCAAUUUCAGUCUGUUUCUUAAAGCAAUACUUCAGAGUAUGCAUUUCUACUCAUUAAGGUAUUGCUAAAUUUGUAAAAGCACAGUUAUUGUUCUGUGAGUCUAUUCUAAUGGGUCUAGAUAAAAUUUGUUUCUAGUUACUUGAUAACAAUUGUAUAAUUGUACGUUUUCAGGCACAGAACAAUCCUUUGUCCUUGCCAUGGACCAAACUUUGGUCAUUCAGCCAUAGUCAGCAACUAUACUGACUGAGCUAGCCUGACUCAUAAUAUUUAUCUAUGAUUUCUGGAUUUUUUUAUGGUGCAUGCUAAGCUUCUGUGUGUCUGGUAGCCAUAAAUGGAAGCCUUAUUUGAUAUUUUUAAUUGUUAUAUACAUCAAGACUGUACCUUAUACUUUCAGAGAUUGAUGCAGAUCUCUCAGCACCUUGUAAACACUACAUUAAGCAGUUUAAAAAUCCAUAUCAUUAACAUGACUUCUACCACUCUUCUUUCAGUUUGUCAUUAUGAACAACACAGAGCAACCCAAAUACAUUUAUACCUGCUCAGUGUAUGGAUUUGGGCUGGUAUAUAACAAUCAGGGAUAUUAUCAUAUAAAUAAUGGAAAUAUAUGUCUUCAAUUAACUCAGUGUUUCACAACCCUUUCCAUGUGGCAGCACAAUAAAAUAUACUUCAAAAUCAUAAGGCACACAUUUUAUUGUGAAGUUAUGUGUGACUGCCCAUAAAGGAUAUUUAUAUUAUUGUUUGUACUUUACUAUAAUUUGUAUUACAUUAUUUGUUUGCAAUAUGCACUGGAUUUCACAGAAAAAUUUAAGUCAUAUUUUAGCAACCAGUAAUAAAUUACAUGUAUUACAGGUAAACAAAAUAUGAAGAUUAAAGUGUCUAUUCUGAGAAGUCUGAAUCAUAGCAAACAGUAUUUUUGUACAAAUGCAUUUGAAUCCAAAAUUCCACAGCACAACUCAUAUAUCAGCACACUGGUUGUGAAAUACUGAUCUCACUGACAAAUUAUGCACAAGUUAUAAAAUGUUUUGAAAAUUAUUUAUAUAAAUAUAUAUGCAGUGAAGAUGUUAUAAGCACAGUUAUUUUAUCAAAUUAUUUCUGUAGUAGAACAUACUGUCAAUUAAAUAUUUUGCAACAGUAAAACAUUAUAAAUAUUGUGA